rnacentral:rRNA from 1 species
GACGAACGCUGGCGGCGUGCUUAACACAUGCAAGUCGUACGAUGACCCGGCUCUUCGGCGCUGGUGAUUAGUGGCGAACGGGUGAGUAACACGUGGGUGACCUGCCCUGCACUCUGGGAUAAGCCCGGGAAACUGGGUCUAAUACUGGAUACGACCAGUGGCCGCAUGGUCUGCUGGUGGAAAGCCCUUCGGGGUGGUGUGGGAUGGGCCCGCGGCCUAUCAGCUUGUUGGUGGGGUGAUGGCCUACCAAGGCGACGACGGGUAGCCGGCCGGAGAGGGUGUCCGGCCACACUGGGACUGAGACACGGCCCAGACUCCUACGGGAGGCAGCAGUGGGGAAUCUUGCACAAUGGGCGAAAGCCUGAUGCAGCGACGCCGCGUGAGGGAUGACGGCCUUCGGGUUGUAAACCUCUUUCGGCAGGGAACAAGCCUGGGGGUUUUCUUCUGGGUGAGGGUACCUGCGGAAGAAGCACCGGCUAACUACGUG